UACGGGGGGAGCAAGCGUUGUUCGGAUUUACUGGGCGUAAAGGGCGCGUAGGCGGUCGUGACAAGUCACUUGUGAAAUCUCCGGGCUUAACUCGGAACGGUCAAGUGAUACUGUCGGACUAGAGUACAGAAGGGGCAACUGGAAUUCUCGGUGUAGCGGUGAAAUGCGUAGAUAUGACAUAGAACACCGAUUGCGAAGGCAGCUUGCUACACGAUCAUUGACACUGAGGCACGAAAGCGUGGGGAUCAAACAGG
rnacentral:rRNA from 1 species